rnacentral:rRNA from 1 species
GAGUUUGAUCCUGGCUCAGGAUGAACGCUAGCGACAGGCUUAACACAUGCAAGUCGAGGGGCAGCGGGGAGCAAGCUUGCUUGCUCCGCCGGCGACCGGCGCACGGGUGAGUAACACGUAUGCAACCUGCCCUCCGCAGGGGGAUAACCCGGAGAAAUCCGGACUAAUACCGCGUGGUACACUUGUGGGGCAUCCCACGGGUGUUAAAAGGAAGUGAUUCCGGCGGAGGAUGGGCAUGCGGCGCAUUAGCUUGUUGGCGGGGUAACGGCCCACCAAGGCGACGAUGCGUAGGGGUUCUGAGAGGAAGGUCCCCCACACUGGUACUGAGACACGGACCAGACUCCUACGGGAGGCAGCAGUGAGGAAUAUUGGUCAAUGGGCGGGAGCCAGAACCAGCCAAGUCGCGUGAGGGAAGACGGUCCUAUGGAUUGUAAACCUCUUUAGGCGGGGAGCAAUGCCGGGCACGUGUGCCCGGAGGGAGAGUACCCGUAGAAUAAGCAUCGGCUAACUCCGUGCCAGCAGCCGCGGUAAUACGGAGGAUGCGAGCGUUAUCCGGAUUUAUUGGGUUUAAAGGGUGCGUAGGCGGAUUUUUAAGUCAGCGGUAAAAUGUCCGGGCUCAACCCGGGCCGGCCGUUGAAACUGGGGAUCUUGAGUGGGCGAGAAGUAUGCGGAAUGCGUGGUGU